rnacentral:rRNA from 1 species
GACGAGGGAUCCUAGCGUUGCUCGGAAUUAUUGGGCGUAAAGCGGGUGUAGGUGGCUUGGUAAGUCGGGUGUGAAAGCCCAGGGCUCAACCCUGGAAAGUGGCAUUCGAUACUGCUGAGCUUGAGUGCGAGAGAGGUUAUUAGGAAUACCUGGUGUAGUGGUGAAAUACGUAGAUAUCAGGUGGAACACCGGAGGCGAAGGCGGAUAACUGGCUCGACACUGACACUGAGACCCGAAAGCGUGGGGAUCAAACAGG